AGACGGGACAACGACCAGGGACAGCGAGCAGGAGUAUCAGUCAGCUGGUUGCUGCCGCUGCUACAACCGACCCAGCCACAGCUGGAAUACCCUCAACCUGGGCAGUGACUACUGUGCUCUACACAGUCAGCGGCUGAAGGGCAGUCUCGUGCCAGCCAUUGAAAAUGCUCACGGCACACAUCCCUGCUGACCUUCCCCAAGACCAUGGAGAGGCAGCUGAGUCCUUAGUUUGAGGAAGACAGGAUAACAGCCUGUUCCCGCUGCUAGAGGCCAGUGAGAUGGAGAGGCUUGCAGAGGUCACUGAUCAAUGGACUCUCAAGCUCAGCAGUGGUGGCCCAGGACUUUAAUUCUAGGACUCAGAAGGCAGAGGCGGGCAGAGUUCGAGGCCAACCUGGUGGUCUACAGAGCAACGGGACAGCUGGGAGUAUGCAGUGAAACCCUACCUCAAAAAGACAAACAAACAAACGAAAUAUCAUAGAUUCUCCAUCUAUGACACCGCUUGACACCAUCGGGCGGAACGCACAACAGUAAACGCCCCCGCCGCGACCAAUCAGCGAUUGCCGCACACCUCUGCCUUGGCCAAUCCACAGCGGUUUUGCAGUUCCACCCCUUACCUAGGGUGUGGGGAAGCUGGGGCGCCCCGUGCCCAACCUGGGGAGUGUCCAGAGCCU
ensembl:processed_transcript